ACCCUUGUAGAUGAAAUGGUGCAUCACCCAUUACACAUUGUUGCGUUCUGAGCAGAUUAAGUGGGAGGCGGAGGUUCGAAUCCUCCCGAGGGUA